rnacentral:rRNA from 1 species
UAACACAUGCAAGUCGAACGGUAGAGAGGAGCUUGCUCCUCUUGAGAGCGGCGGACGGGUGAGUAAUGCCUAGGAAUCUGCCUGGUAGUGGGGGAUAACGUUCGGAAACGGACGCUAAUACCGCAUACGUCCUACGGGAGAAAGCAGGGGACCUUCGGGCCUUGCGCUAUCAGAUGAGCCUAGGUCGGAUUAGCUAGUUGGUGAGGUAAUGGCUCACCAAGGCGACGAUCCGUAACUGGUCUGAGAGGAUGAUCAGUCACACCGGAACUGAGACACGGUCCAGACUCCUACGGGAGGCAGCAGUGGGGAAUAUUGGACAAUGGGCGAAAGCCUGAUCCAGCCAUGCCGCGUGUGUGAAGAAGGUCUUCGGAUUGUAAAGCACUUUAAGUUGGGAGGAAGGGCGGUAAAUUAAUACUUUGCUGUUUUGACGUUACCGACAGAAUAAGCACCGGCUAACUCUGUGCCAGCAGCCGCGGUAAUACAGAGGGUGCAAGCGUUAAUCGGAAUUACUGGGCGUAAAGCGCGCGUAGGUGGUUUGUUAAGUUGGAUGUGAAAUCCCCGGGCUCAACCUGGGAACUGCAUUCAAAACUGACUGACUAGAGUAUGGUAGAGGGUGGUGGAAUUUCCUGUGUAGCGGUGAAAUGCGUAGAUAUAGGAAGGAACACCAGUGGCGAAGGCGACCACCUGGACUAAUACUGACACUGAGGUGCGAAAGCGUGGGGAGCAAACAGGAUUAGAUACCCUGGUAGUCCACGCCGUAAACGAUGUCAACUAGCCGUUGGGAAGCCUUGAGCUUUUAGUGGCGCAGCUAACGCAUUAAGUUGACCGCCCUGGGGAGUACGACGCAGAUUAAAACUCAAAUGAUGACGGGGUCCGCACAAAGCGGUGAGCAUGUGUAAUCGAGCAACGCGAAGAAACCUUAACCCAGGCCCUUGGAC